rnacentral:lncRNA from 1 species
GUGGGCCCAGUAGCAUGGACUCCCAUUUAUCAAAGCUCAUCUAGCUCCUGCUGCUCUAAAUGUCCAAUGUGCCAACAACAGAAACUGAGCCUCCAAUACAGCUCUAUUCCUAGAAGAGUCCAAUUAGCCACUUGGCAAGGUGACCACAGUGGCCCCUUCUGUCCACUUUGUCUGCACAGGAAUAAAUACCUAUCCUGGAUAUGGGUUUGCCUUUCCUGCCCACCGAGCCUCAGUCAGCCCCACUAUCUGGAAACUUACAGAAUGCCUGAUCUGUAGGCAUGAAAUCCCAUACAACACAGCAUCCGGUCAGCGAACCCACUGUGCAGUGAGGGAGGUGCAGAAAUGACCCCUUGGCUAUAGGAUCCACUGGUUGUACUAUGUACUACAAUAUCUAACAUUAGCUAAACUGAUAGAGAGAAGGCACAGCUGACACGCCAGCUUGUAAGCAAUACUCAGCAGGGAUGGGGCGCCAUCCUUCAGGGUACAGUGUAUACACCAAAUCAGAGACCUUCAGAUGUUAUGUCACUCAUAGGAAGAAUGCACGGGUCCAAGAACAAAGGGGUGGAAGCAAGAGUGGGCCCACUUAACAUCACUCGCAGUGACUCAUGGGGGAUCUUUGUGCUUCCCAACCUUACAACUUUGGGCUUUGCAGGGGUAGAAGUUCAGGUGCCCAAAGGGAGUGCACUUUUGCUAGGGGACAUACAACAGUACCACUGAAGUAUAAUCUAUGAAUGCUGAGUAGGCACUCCAGACUCCUGUGUCCAGGGACCAACAGGCGAGACGAGUCGUCAUCGUUCUGGCUGGAAUCAGCGACCCUGAGCAGCGGGAGGAGCUAAGGCUGCUCUUGCACAAGCAGGGCAGGCAGGCAGGGAGGAAAUGUGCACGUCCAGGCGAUCCCCUCCGUACCUCCGGGGAUUCUCUCUCCCAGUUCUAACUGUGGAUGGACAUACACAGCAGCCCCAGUCUGAAGGGUAUGAUUCCAAGGGCCUGGGCCCCUCUGGAAUGAAGCUGAGAUGCACCACCAGGGAAGCAAGCCGUCCACACCUGCACGGUGACAGCAUCGCAUGUGGAGACUCAAGAGUGGAUAGUGGAGGAGAGAGAAGAUAAACACAAGUUGUGGCCUCAAGACCAACUGCAGCAACAGGGGCUGUGGUUUGUGUUCCUCACCUUCCUCUUCUAAGGUCCCCCUCAGGAGGAGAAGUCCACUGGAAGCCUGGAAGAACCACACCCUGAAAAGGGAUGGAGAAGUCAGUCUCCGUGCUGCAGUCUGUGUAGACUGCGGUGGGAACCAUGUGGGUUCAUGCUUAGGGCUCCCUCCAGGAAUGAACCCACCGUGAGGAGAGCAGUGGGCUGGCGGCCGCAGGUGCUGUGUCUGGGAGCUACUGCACACUUCACACGGAAGGCCACCAGGGAUGGCGCAGAGCUGGCUGCGAAAGCUGAGCCAUCCUCGCCCCUCCCAGGACACCUCUGUCCGUCAGCGACUGCCGUGGACUUCCCCAUCAGGCUGGCCAGGACUGUCUCAGAGCCGCCCCGCUCUCGGAGGCUCUUCCUACCCCAUCCUCCUUGCCCAGGGCUCACACCAGCACUGCAAUGCGAAGACUCUCCCGGCCUCCUCUUCUCUCUGCCCUCUAUUCUGUACAGGCAUUUCCUUCAGUACAUCUCCUGCUCACCUAAUUCCAUCUCGGUGGCCUCUGCUUCCUGGUGGAUCUGAACUGACCCACGAACCAUGCUUGCUAGUUCUUUUCCAAGUAACCGUCUUCUUUCUUAAUUUUUCUUUUUCUUGAUGGAGAGUUUGAACACGGAAGGUUAAACAGACACCUACCUCAUAAGUACAGGUACCUGUGCUGGCCCAUUUACUGUAAUUCAGCUCUGCAGAGGAGUUACAGGAUGUGUCUGUGUCUUCUAGAACUUGUACCAAGGAAACAGAGCUCCAGUCUGUGUGUUUGCAGAAGCACAGGCUCACCUUCCAAGUUUUCCAGGCCUUCCUCUCUGGGUCCCUCCCGCCUGCCAGCUGGACUUUAGUGGUAGGCACUCUGUUUGUCACCUUUAAACCACAGCACUGCAAAUGCAAAAGAAAGACGUUUCCAGAAGAAUAGAAAUUCCUGGUUUAAGGGAGGCCCUUUUGAGUUCAGACGGAUGUGUGACAACGGACAGAAAGAGCAGUCUUGUUCCCAGACCCGCUCAUGAUGCGGCCCAAGCUGCAGCUUCAUGGAGCACAGGAGUAAACUGAGUGGGCAUCUUCCUCGGGGGGGAUGUGGUGGCCACUGGGGAGGUUCCCUUGCAAGCAAAUAAGUCUGGGUAGGAAAACACCGACAUGUGGGGUUCUUAUUGACUCUCCUACAAACCUCCCCCCGCUUCAGGCUGUGGGGAAAUAGAAAAGGCUGAGUGAAGGUAAAACCGGAGACUGUGCAAAGGCCUUCGCUGACGGGAGGAAGAGCGGGCUGGGUCUCUCGCGUGCCAGCGGCCUGCGGUGGAGGCUGUGAAGUUCGGCUUCCAAACGCCUUUGGCCAAGCUGCCCAGAGAGUCUAAGGGAGGAUCCAUUAGCAAGGAUGAGACUUACCGCCAGAUUACGUCGGUCCUUCCAGCUAAACAGACUGAGGCUUCUUUCUCGGAAGUCUCUUUGUGGGGGUGUUCAAACACUCACACAAAAAGCUUUGAAACCCAUGUGAGGUUUUUUGUGAGCAGAGCGUCUAAGAGAACUUAUGUGGAGGAAUCGAUGUAACUAUUGCUCCAGAGUUGUCAGAGAAUUCAUCAGACAGUUCCCCCUCUGUUGGUGAUAACUGUUCGAAGCACGGGAUCCAUCACUUCUAACUGAGACGCAGGCUUGUGACGUGAAGCAACGAGCACCAGCCCUUGCGCACUUCAGUGCACCCGUCCGCAGGGCAGAGAGAAGAGAGAUUUCUCACCCAGGGGUAUUUAAAUCAGCAUCAGAGAACUCUGUCCUUCCUCACUGAAAGGAACAAGACGCCAUAUUUAAUUGAAUAAGGCAGUCUGGUUUUUUUUUUUUUUUUGAAUAAGGCAGUCUUUCAACAGUUACAAGAGAAGUGAGCGACUAAAACUCGAGAAGCGUUUUUCCUUGAAACCAUUAACUAGUUUUAUUUUUAUAGACGCAAUGCCAACUAGCCAGACUGAAUUAUAUGAUCAUCUCCGACGCUGAACUCCUGGCCGUGCCAUCUGUACCAGGAAGAGCCUUGACCGACACUUUCAUAGACACUAGUUACAGUAUUUUUAGUAAUUUUUUAGUAAGAUGGUAAGCUACAUCUCAGGAAUCUUCUCAUUCACUUUUCCUUUGGCAUUUUAGUUUUAAGUCUCUUUUCAAAUAUCUUCAGAUUCUUUUCCCUCCUGUGAAAUACAAAAAUGAUGUCAGGUGGGAGGAAAUACACAGAAUGAACAAUAAAAUGUCUCUUGCCUGAAAUCUUUGCCCUAAAAAUAGGAGCUGAUGCUGUAGGAGAACAACGAAGGCUAGCCCCUCAGUCAGGGCCCUUGGAGUCCUAUGAUUGCAACAACAGCAUCAGGUGACGCCUCCAAGUAGUUUGUUAAUGAUCUAUUUCUAAAAGGCAAAUGGCUAAAAGACUUGUGUCCAUGCAAAGAAACGCCAAGCACACGAACACCAGUAGCUCCUCCAUCUCUGGGUUCCCUGACUGGGCCCUCUUUCCCGAAGCUUCCCGCCCUCCCUUCAGGGUCCCGCUCAGUGAGCUUAUCCUGGACCGGGCUCUCCCUCUUCUCCCAUCAUAAAGGUGGUUGGUCCAAAGGUGAACGCCCAAGUCAAGCUAAACCAAUCGGAGACCUCUGCCUGGGAAUUUAGACCUGAGGCAAAGUCCUUUCUCUUUUAAGAGGAACUACAUAUAAUACGUGAGAUUGUAAGGUGUAGACGACCAUGUGCCACGAGGAUUGAAGAGCAGAAAAAGCUGGAUCCAGACAGAAGAAUGAAGUAGAUAGCAGAGAGAAGCAGAGAAAAGUGUGAGAGAGACAGGAGUGGAGACUUCCUUGGGUUCCAUGGGGUGUCCUUGGAACUGCUCCUCCCGCCUAAGUGAACAUAACUUUUUAUUUGCAGCCAAGAGGAGUCUUAACUCCUCUUCCUCCUACUCCUCAAGAAUGUCUGAUACAGAAAAUGUGAAUUUCCCAGGGCCAGCCCCAUGGCCGAGUGGUUUAGUUCACACACUUUGCUUUGGCAGCCUGGGGUUCACCAGUUUGGAUCCUGGAUGUGGACCAAUGCACUGCUCAUCAAGCCAUGCUGUGGUGGCAUCCCAUGUAGAAGAACUAGAAGGACCUAAAACUAGGAUAUACA